AGAUCCCCAAACAAGAGCAGCGUAUCUGGCACAACGGUUCCUCCUACGAUGCCAGUGGCCGCGCGGCGCUCGCCCCCUCAUCUCUGCGGGACGGCGACCGCCUGGCCUGCCGCCUGCUGCUGCCGCCCGCCGGGUACUCCGCCGUGAGGGAACAGGUGUUCCGAUGGGAUAAAUUCAAAGACGUCAUACUACGAGACAAAUGCAAGAAAAACAUGACCAAAGAAACUGCAGCACAAUUAUGCAGAAAUAUUGCAAAUGUUAACAGCAAUUCAAAUAUUUGCACAGCUACAUUUACACUACUUAUAUUUACAGAAUACGCUAUGUUAAAUAAAUAACUGUAAAAAAUAAAGCUUAUUUAUUAGUCAAACAAACAUCAUUAAAAAUAAUUAAAAUCAAUACAAAAUAACACUUAAGGCACAACACAUUAGGUACAUUUGGUGUAACUCUUUCAUAUUAACAUCGCAACAGCAAUGAGCAAUAAGGGCGAAACAGCAUAGUGCCAGAAUGCAGCAUCUGUAAAUAUAAAAAUUAAAUAUUACUAUCACGUUAAAAAUAUAUUAAGGGAAACUUGAAUGAAAAUAUGUGACUAUAAAUAUAAAUAUGAUAAUAUAUAGUAUGAAAGGGAUAAUCAUCAACAGUUUUUAGAGUUUUUCGAUUUGGUAAUUAAAUGCACUAGUCAAACAAUAAAUAGAAGAUCACUAAAUCACAGCGUUCCAUUGUUGAAAUAACGAAAUGAAUAAAACAAUAUUCAAUGCAAAAAUAAAAUUAGGGUAAAUACUAAAAUGUAAGGGCAUAAUUUAAGUUUUUAAUUUGAAUGACAGGGGGUGGGUGGGUAUAGUCAAAUAUGAUUACAAACGUGAGUAGAUUGCAUGAGCACAUUCAACGCAAUAUUAGUUUGAUAAAGUCAUUACAGUCAAUGAUAAUAAACUGAGUGUUCCAAAAAGCAUAGGUACUGCAAUCCGAAAAUGUGUAACACUACUUACCAUGCUACAGACUUUACGAAUAUAAACCAUGGCAUGAGAACGCUAAAAGUAAUAAAAGUUCAUAUUCGUAAAGCCUGACAAUAUGACAAGUGUAAAAAGUGUAAAUAUGAAUAUGAGUGUUACCGGUGGCUGGGGUCUCCUCUAGGUUCGCUCGCUGCUCGGACGUGGCGGCGGCGUCUGCAUAUAUUAUUGUUAGUUGUAACUUCUCCACACACACACCCAUUGAUA